rnacentral:rRNA from 1 species
CCUAGGGGAGGCAUCAGUGGGGAAUCGUGGACAAGGGGCGAAAGGCUGACGCAACGACGCCGCGUGUGGGAUGAAGCAUUUCUGUGUGUAAACCACUGUUGCCCGGGAAGAACAGCCUUUUUCCAGAGGUCUGACUGUACCGGGUGAGGAAGCACCGGCUAACUCCGUGCCAGCAGCCGCGGUAAUACGGACGGUGCGAGCGUUGUCCGGAAUCAUUGGGCGUAAAGGGCGCGUAGGUGGCCUGCUAAGCGUGCGGUGAAAGCUCGGGGCUCAACCCCGAGUCGGCCGUGCGAACUGGUGGGCUUGAGCACUGUAGAGGCAGGCUGAAUUCCGGGUGUAGCGGUGGAAUGCGUACAGAUCCGGAAGAACACCGGUGGCGAAGGCGGCCUGCUGGGCAGUACCUGACACUGAGGCGCGACAGCGUGGGGAGCAAACAGGAUUAGAUACCCUGGUAGUCCACGCCGUAAACGAUGGGCACUAGGCGCUUGGGGGAGCGACCCCCCGAGGGCCGGCGCUAACACAUUAACUGCCCCGCCUGGGGAGUACGGCCGCAAGGCUGAAACUCAAAGGAAUUGACGGGGGCCCGCACAAGCGGUGGGUCAUGUGGUUUAAUUCCACGCAACGCGAGAACAUUACCUAGGCUUGACAUACACGGGAUAGCUCUCACACAAGGGGGCCUCUCUUCUGAGCCCGUGCACACGUGCUGCAUGUCUGUCGUCCCUCGUGUUUGAGAUGUUGGGUUAAUUCCCGCAACGACCCAACCCCUGUCCUUACUUGCACCGAGUCAGUCGGAGACUCUACGGAGACUGCCUGUGUCAACCCAAGAAGGUGGGGACACGUCCAGUCAUCAUGGCCCUUACUCUAGGGUUCACACAUGCUACAUUGAUGGG